AGGCCCACUUGAAUUUUUCACCUUAUUUUCCAUAGAUCCAAACCUAUGUUCAUUUUCCAAAACACCAAACUGGGGCAGCCUCUGUGUAUCUCAUUUCACCUUGACAUUCUUGUAUCACAUCUCCGUCGACGAGUGUGUGAGGGAUGAUGUGCCCAUGUGCCUGUCCCAGCCUUCCAAACCAUUCCAAAUGACUCUCAUUCCCUUCAAAAUCAUCAUUUCGUUAAUGAAUUCAAGCAUGUGUGCACUGAUGUCAAGAAAGAACAAGUCAAACAUAUNAUCAUAUCUAGCAUUAGACCUCGGAAGCAUGACAUUACUCAGAUUUCACAAAAUCAUUGAAAUAAAGACCA
rnacentral:lncRNA from 1 species